rnacentral:tRNA from 1 species
UGCAGAUGUGGCGAAAUUGGUAGACGCGUUAGAUUUAGGAUCUAAUGAUAAAAACUCAUGAGAGUUCAAGUCUCUCCAUCUGUAU